CCUACGGGGGGCAGCAGUGGGGAAUAUUGCACAAUGGGGGAAACCCUGAUGCAGCAACGCCGCGUGAGCGAUGAAGGCCUUCGGGUCGUAAAUCUCUGUCCUAAGGGAAGAAUACUGACGGUACAUUAGGAGGAAGCCCCGGCUAACUACGUUCCAGCAGCCGCGGUAAUACGUAGGGGGCUAGCGUUAUCCGGAAUUACUGUGCGUAAAGGGUGCGUAGGCGGCCCUUCAAGUCAGAGGUGCAAGGCUACGGCGCAGCCGUAGUAAGCCUUUGAAACUGUAGGGCUUGAGUGCAGGAGAGGAGAGUGGAAUUCCCAGUGUAGCGGUGAGCUGCGUAGAGAUUGGGAGGAACACCAGUGGCGAAGGCGGCUCAAUGGAGGGGAACUGACGCUGGGGCACGAAAGCGUGGGGAGCGAACAGGAUUAGAUACCCUAGUAGUC
rnacentral:rRNA from 1 species